CACCCGCCCAGCAGCCCGUCUGGCAUGUCAGUUUUUUACAUUUUAAAGUGCAGGAGGGGCGCCAAAACGAGGACCAGCCCAGGGUGCCAAAUGCUUUAGGUAAGCCCCUGCCCCUGAGACAAAACAGUGGAGGUCACCCACAAAGUAAAACAGUGGAUGGCAAUAAAAAGUAGUGGGUGUAGUAAGACAAGAGGUGGAGUUUACCACAUUAGGUUUGUUAAUGUGAGUGUGAUUAUCC